rnacentral:rRNA from 1 species
AUUGAACGCUGGCGGCAUGCUUUACACAUGCAAGUCGAACGGUAACAGGUUAAGCUGACGAGUGGCGAACGGGUGAGUAAUGCAUCGGAACGUGCCCGAUCGUGGGGGAUAACGCAGCGAAAGCUGCGCUAAUACCGCAUACGAUCUGAGGAUGAAAGCGGGGGACCGUAAGGCCUCGCGCGAUCGGAGCGGCCGAUGUCAGAUUAGGUAGUUGGUGGGGUAAAGGCCCACCAAGCCGACGAUCUGUAGCUGGUCUGAGAGGACGACCAGCCACACUGGGACUGGGAAGCGGCCCAGACUCCUAGGGGAGGCAGCAGUGGGGAAUUGUGGACAAUGGGCGAGGGCCGGAGCCAGCAAGGCGGCGUGCAGAAAGAAGGCCUUCGGGUUGUAAACUGCUUUUGUACGGAGCGAAAAGGUCCUUUCUAAUACAAGGGGCUCAUGGCGGUACCGUAAGAAUAAGCACCGGCUAACUACGUGCCAGCAGCCGCCGUAA